AACGAACGCUGGCGGCAUGCCUAACACAUGCAAGUCGAACGAGACCUUCGGGUCUAGUGGCGCACGGGUGCGUAACGCGUGGGAACCUGCCCUUAGGUUCGGAAUAACUCCCCGAAAGGGGUGCUAAUACCGGAUAACGUCCUCGGACCAAAGAUUUAUCGCCUUUGGAUGGGCCCGCGUUGGAUUAGCUAGUUGGUAGGGUAAAAGCCUACCAAGGCGACGAUCCAUAGCUGGUCUGAGAGGAUGAUCAGCCACACUGGGACUGAGACACGGCCCAGACUCCUACGGGAGGCAGCAGUGGGGAAUAUUGGACAAUGGGCGAAAGCCUGAUCCAGCAAUGCCGCGUGAGUGAUGAAGGCCUUAGGGUUGUAAAGCUCUUUUACCCGGGAUGAUAAUGACAGUACCGGGAGAAUAAGCUCCGGCUAACUCCGUG
rnacentral:rRNA from 1 species